rnacentral:lncRNA from 10 species
GAGACAAUGGUUACUUCUUUUCAUGGAUUCUAAAUUCUAUCUGCCAGUCACUUUUUGUGUGUGCAUUCAUUGAGGGUGUACAGAAUGGAAUUACAGAGGCAGAAAAAAAUGAGGUCUCUGCCAAAUUGAUAGUUUAAAAAACAUUUUAGUGGCCUACUUAACUGUAAUUUGUUUUAGUUUUAAACAAGAAAAACCUCAGCAUGUAAGCAAAGCAGACUGGACUUGAACAGAUAUGGAAUGCAAAGCACACAGGAGAGUCAUGGGGAUCCUGAAGGGGGAUUAGAAGUUGGACAACUUUUUAUGCAAUGAACAACACUGCAUUGGAGGCAGUGGAUUAAACAGUAGUGCAUAUCACUUGGCUGAAGUGACAGGAAUAAAGAACAGAAUGCAUCCACUCCUCCAGUCUCAUUAAGCUGCCUCUUUCUCCUGAAAUUGGAUUGGGAUUCCAGGACACCUCUCAACCUACAGGAAACACUGGAUCUAAAGCUGAAACAGGCUUUUAAAAAGAUUUGCACAAUACAUCCUUCAUAUUGUUAUUUUUAUCUCUGUAAGUUUGUAAUGGCCUCUAAAAAAGAAAGCUGUGUAACAAGAGCAUCAGAUGUUACUUUGCUCACUGUUGAAGGCGGUGAAGAACAGAAGAAAACUAGGAAGAAAACCAAGCUGGGAAGGGCAAUGAAGGAACAGGUUAGAGUUCAAAAGUAAAAGUACGUUCCACACAAAGGAAAGAUUUCAGAGAGAAGGCUUUGCUCUGUUGCCCAGGCUGGAAUGCAGUGGUGUGAUCAUGGCUCACGCAGCCUUGAAAUUCUGGGCUCAAAUGAUCUUCUUGCCUCAGCCUCUUGAGUAGCUGGAAUUACAGGUUGCUGGGGCAGCUCUGAUCCACAUACGACUUAGGGACCCAGGAUGCAGCUGCUUCAACAUCUUGUAGCCGUACUAUCUGGAAUACAUGGGCUGCCAGUUGUCAUGACUACUCUCCUAUGUUCAGCCCAAAAGCUAAGCACUUUAUUUCUUCAUAUAGCCCAUUGGCCAGAAUUAUUCAUAUGUCUCACUACAGGAUGGGCCGGGAGUGUACCUUCAUUAUGUAGGAAAAAAUAAAACAUAAUCGUGAGAAU